rnacentral:rRNA from 1 species
CCAGACUCCUACGGGAGGCAGCAGUGGGGAAUAUUGCACAAUGGGGGGAACCCUGAUGCAGCGACGCCGCGUGGGUGAAGGAGUAUUUCGGUAUGUAAAGCCCUAUCAGCAGGGAAGAACAAUGACGGUACCUGACUAAGAAGCACCGGCUAAAUACGUGCCAGCAGCCGCGGUAAUACGUAUGGUGCAAGCGUUAUCCGGAUUUACUGGGUGUAAAGGGAGCGCAGGCGGCGCGUUAAGCCUGGUGUGAAAGCCCGGGGCCCAACCCCGGGACUGCUCUGGAAACUGCGUCGCUGGAGUACGGGAGGGGCAGGCGGAAUUCCUGGUGUAGCGGUGAAAUGCGUAGAUAUCAGGAGGAACACCGGCGGCGAAGGCGGCCUGCUGGACCGUGACUGACGUUGAGGCUCGAGAGCGUGGGGAGCAAACAGGAUUAGAUACCCCAGUA